rnacentral:rRNA from 1 species
CGGGUGAGUAACGCGUAAAGAACUUGCCUCAUAGUCUGGGACAACAUUUGGAAACGGAUGCUAAUACCGGAUAUUAUGCUUUCUUCGCAUGGAGGAAGUAUGAAAGCUAUAUGCGCUAUGAGAGAGCUUUGCGUCCCAUUAGCUAGUUGGUGAGGUAACGGCCCACCAAGGCGAUGAUGGGUAGCCGGCCUGAGAGGGUGAACGGCCACAAGGGGACUGAGACACGGCCCUUACUCCUACGGGAGGCAGCAGCU